UCUAAGCUCUUCACAAGUCCAGCCUAGCUAUGGUGGAGGAACUCGAAUUACGUCAUCUUCAUAUGAUGAAUUUGAAGAAUAUGAAAGCCAAUCAAGUAACAACACCG